GGAGGAAAAGAAACCAACAGGGAUUGCCUUAGUAACGGCGAGUGAAGCGGCAACAGCUCAAAUUUGAAAUCUGGCCCUUGGGUCCGAAUUGUAAUUUGUAGAGGAUGAUUUUGGUGCGGUAUCUUCCGAGUUCCUUGGAACAGGACGCCUUAGAGGGUGAGAGCCCCGUACGGUUGAAUGCCUAGCCUCUGUAAAUCUCCUUCGACGAGUCGAGUAGUUUGGGAAUGCUGCUCUAAAUGGGAGGUAAAUUUCUUCUAAAGCUAAAUAUUGGCCAGAGACCGAUAGCGCACAAGUAGAGUGAUCGAAAGAUGAAAAGCACUUUGAAAAGAGGGUUAAAUAGCACGUGAAAUUGUUGAAAGGGAAGGAUUUGUGACCAGACUUUUUCUGGGCGGAUCAUCCGGGGUUCUCUCCGGUGCACUUCGCCCAGUAAAGGCCAGCAUCGGUUUUCGGCGUGGGAUAAAAGCAGUAGGAAUGUGGCUCUCUACGGGGAGUGUUAUAGCCUAUUGUAUAAUACCGCGCUGGGGACCGAGGUUCGCGCUUCUGCAAGGAUGCUGGCGUAAUGGUUAUCAAUCACCCGUCUUGAAACACGGACCAAGGAGUCGAACAUUUGUGCGAGUGUUUGGGUGUUAAACCCUCACGCGUAAUGAAAGUGAACGGAGGUGAGAGCCCUUACGGGUGCAUCAUCGACCGAUCCUGAAGUUUUCGGAUGGAUUUGAGUAAGAGCAUAACUGUUCGGACCCGAAAGAUGGUGAACUAUGCGUGGAUAGGGUGAAGCCAGAGGAAACUCUGGUGGAGGCUCGCAGCGGUUCUGACGUGCAAAUCGAUCGUCAAAUCUGCGCAUGGGGGCGAAAGACUAAUCGAACCAUCUAGUAGCUGGUUACCGC
rnacentral:rRNA from 1 species